rnacentral:rRNA from 1 species
GAUGAACGCUGGCGGCGUGCCUAAUACAUGCAAGUCGAGCGAACGGACGAGAAGCUUGCUUCUCUGAUGUUAGCGGCGGACGGGUGAGUAACACGUGGAUAACCUACCUAUAAGACUGGGAUAACUUCGGGAAACCGGAGCUAAUACCGGAUAAUAUUUUGAACCGCAUGGUUCAAAAGUGAAAGACGGUCUUGCUGUCACUUAUAGAUGGAUCCGCGCUGCAUUAGCUAGUUGGUAAGGUAACGGCUUACCAAGGCAACGAUGCAUAGCCGACCUGAGAGGGUGAUCGGCCACACUGGAACUGAGACACGGUCCAGACUCCUACGGGAGGCAGCAGUAGGGAAUCUUCCGCAAUGGGCGAAAGCCUGACGGAGCAACGCCGCGUGAGUGAUGAAGGUCUUCGGAUCGUAAAACUCUGUUAUUAGGGAAGAACAUAUGUGUAAGUAACUGUGCACAUCUUGACGGUACCUAAUCAGAAAGCCACGGCUAACUACGUGCCAGCAGCCGCGGUAAUACGUAGGUGGCAAGCGUUAUCCGGAAUUAUUGGGCGUAAAGCGCGCGUAGGCGGUUUUUUAAGUCUGAUGUGAAAGCCCACGGCUCAACCGUGGAGGGUCAUUGGAAACUGGAAAACUUGAGUGCAGAAGAGGAAAGUGGAAUUCCAUGUGUAGCGGUGAAAUGCGCAGAGAUAUGGAGGAACACCAGUGGCGAAGGCGACUUUCUGGUCUGUAACUGACGCUGAUGUGCGAAAGCGUGGGGAUCAAACAGGAUUAGAUACCCCGGUAGUCCACGCCGUAAACGAUGAGUGCUAAGUGUUAGGGGGUUUCCGCCCCUUAGUGCUGCAGCUAACGCAUUAAGCACUCCGCCUGGGGAGUACGACCGCAAGGUUGAAACUCAAAGGAAUUGACGGGGACCCGCACAAGCGGUGGAGCAUGUGGUUUAAUUCGAAGCAACGCGAAGAACCUUACCAAAUCUUGACAUCCUUUGACAACUCUAGAGAUAGAGCCUUCCCCUUCGGGGGACAAAGUGACAGGUGGUGCAUGGUUGUCGUCAGCUCGUGUCGUGAGAUGUUGGGUUAAGUCCCGCAACGAGCGCAACCCUUAAGCUUAGUUGCCAUCAUUAAGUUGGGCACUCUAAGUUGACUGCCGGUGACAAACCGGAGGAAGGUGGGGAUGACGUCAAAUCAUCAUGCCCCUUAUGAUUUGGGCUACACACGUGCUACAAUGGACAAUACAAAGGGCAGCGAAACCGCGAGGUCAAGCAAAUCCCAUAAAGUUGUUCUCAGUUCGGAUUGUAGUCUGCAACUCGACUACAUGAAGCUGGAAUCGCUAGUAAUCGUAGAUCAGCAUGCUACGGUGAAUACGUUCUCGGGUCU